rnacentral:rRNA from 1 species
CCAGACUCCUACGGGAGGCAGCAGUGGGGAAUAUUGCACAAUGGGGGAAACCCUGAUGCAGCGACGCCGCGUGGGCGAGGAAGUACCUCGGUAUGUAAAGCCCUAUCAGCAGGGAAGAAACAGGACAGUACCUGACUAAGAAGCCCCGGCUAACUACGUGCCAGCAGCCGCGGUAAUACGUAGGGGGCAAGCGUUAUCCGGAUUUACUGGGUGUAAAGGGAGCGUAGACGGCAAUACAAGUCGGAAGUGAAAUACCCGGGCUCAACCUGGGAAUUGCUUUGGAAACUGUAUGGCUGGAGUGCUGGAGAGGUAAGCGGAAUUCCUAGUGUAGCGGUGAAAUGCGUAGAUAUUAGGAGGAACACCAGUGGCGAAGGCGGCUUACUGGACAGUAACUGACGUUGAGGCUCGAAAGCGUGGGGAGCAAACAGGAUUAGAUACCCUAGUAA